UGAACGCUGGCGGCAGGCCUAACACAUGCAAGUCGAGCGGAUGAGAAGAGCUUGCUCUUCGAUUCAGCGGCGGACGGGUGAGUAAUGCCUAGGAAUCUGCCUGGUAGUGGGGGACAACGUUUCGAAAGGAACGCUAAUACCGCACACGUCCUACGGGAGAAAGCAGGGGACCUUCGGGCCUUGCGCUAUCAGAUGAGCCUAGGUCGGAUUAGCUAGUUGGUGAGGUAAUGGCUCACCAAGGCUACGAUCCGUAACUGGUCUGAGAGGAUGAUCAGUCACACUGGAACUGAGGCACGGUCCAGACUCCUACGGGAGGCAGCAGUGGGGAAUAUUGGUCAAUGGAGGCAACUCUGAACCAGCCAUGCCGCGUGCAGGAUGACGGCCCUCUGGGUUGUAAACUGCUUUUAUACGGGAAGAAAACGAGCUACGUGUAGCUUAUUGACGGUACCGUAAGAACUAAGGAUCGGCUAACUCGUGCCAGCA
rnacentral:rRNA from 1 species